UAAUAAGUUUCUUUCCUUUUCUUUAGGAAGGCUGUCCAGGUUCAAUGUAUCUGAAAAUAGCAAGAAAAGUGGAUCUCGUGAAAGUUGAUUGAUCACGCAAGGUGAAUUUUAUUCAAUUUGUCUCUAGACUUUUUUCCUUCAACAAAUUUAGACCACAGAAAUGGUAGUUUUUUUAUGCAAUUCUUUUUUUUUUUGAUCAAGAAAAGGGAAGUAAUAUUAAAACCAUGGUACCAGCGGUACCAGAAAGAAGAGAGUCCGGCAAAGAACAGCACACAAAGAAGAGCAGAAAGAGAGGAAAGAGAGCGGCGGUUGGGUCAGCCGGGCUCAGGAACAAUCGAAGACAUCCAAGUUCCUCAUCCACGAGAGAAGAUUAGGGUGCCGGGGCCUUCCAGAUCUUCGAGAAUGCUAGAUUUUUCGGUUGGUUUCUGCUCAAAGCUCUAGCUCCACGGAUAAUUUUGUAAGCCGACUUUGCAGAAAAGAUUCUGUUGGGGUCCGGCUUCCAUCUCCAACCGUCUUGCUUUCCUGCGAAAAGAGGGAAAUUAUUGAUAAUAGAGAGGAUUUCAGAGAGCUGAGCAUCCUCGCGCUCCCUCAGAACCCGUUUCCAAAGAGGUCUCCACUCCCACACUCCGUCUGCCCAGCCACCCAUGUCGAAAAGAGUUCCCCCCUGGUUACUGCUCAAGCGAAAGAGUCUUGGAAAACUGUCUUUAAGCCUUUUCUCUACUGCCCACCUGUGAUGCUAGAACAAAUUAGAUUUUUCGUCUCCAAUUUUCCUUUUCAAAUUUUCAUUGAGCCAUCUCCCUUCCUCCCCCCAACUGAGUUUCAAAAUCUUCUUCCACCAGCCGGCUUUCGCCUUCUUAUUUCUUGCAAAACAAAAGCCAUCCUCGUUCCACUCCAAAUCACCCUUACAAGCUUUCACCACCCGAACCCAAAGGGAAUGCUCCUCCGACAAAAAUCUCCACAACCACUUAGUCAUAAGGGCCAAAUUGAAGCUUUCCAGAUCUUUUAGGCCGAACCCCCCCUCUCGGGUGUCUUGACAGAGAUCAUCCCAUUUUACCCAAUGGAUCUUUCUCUCCUCCAAGCCCUCCCCUCCCCAAAGAAAAUUGCUCAUCAAAGAGCGAAGAUCAGCCACCACUUUCUUGGGCAAAAUCGAGAAAGACAUUUGAUAGAUCGGAAUAGAUAAGAGGACCGAUCGGAGCAGUGUGAGUCUGCCAACAAAGGAGACCUUUCGGUUCAUCCACUUGAAAAUUCUUCUCUUUAUUUUUUCAACCAAGUACUUCCAGUCAUCGACUCGGGAUAUUCGAGCGCCAAUCAAAAUUCCCAAGUAUUUAGUUGGGAGAUCCUCGACUUUACAAUCGAGAAUUGCCGCCAACUGAUCUCUGAUUGGUCUUUGGAUGCCAAUCCCGAAAAUACAGCUCUUAUCAAAGUUGACUUUUAGGCCUGAGAGCAGUUCGAAAAUUUUAAGAAUACACUUCACCGUCCAAACAUUCUCAGCUUUCCCCGGGGCGAGGAACACUGUGUCGUCCGCAUAUUGAAGAUGAGAGAUUUUUGUGCCAUUAUUCCCAAGCUCAAUAGGUUCGAUCAGCCAUUUCUGAAUAGCUCUCUCUGUGAGUAAAUUAAGACCCUCUGCGACAAUAAAAAAAAGAUAGGGGGAUAAAGGAUCCCCUGUCUGAGUCCUCUUUCCAAUUGGAAUUCGCCCGAAGGACUUCCAUUGAUCAAGACGUUAGCGGUGGCAGAAAGAAGGCAACCCGAGAUCCAUUUUCUCCACUUUAAGCCGAAGUUCAUCCUGUCGAGCAUUUGGUCCAGAAAGUCCCAAUCAAUUGUGUCAUAAGCCUUUUCGAAAUCUACUUUGAACAGGAUUGAGCCCUUCUUCCUUUUUUUGACCUCUUCGAUUACCUCAUUUAGCACAAUAACCCCGUCCAGAAUGUACCUCCUUUUUUUAUGCAAUUCUUAGUACGAUACUAAAGAAUUAGUCGAAAUGUGACUUGUUAAAUCAGCCAUUGGAAUGAGAUUCAGUAUACCACA